rnacentral:lncRNA from 1 species
UAUAUCUUACAUUAAUAUUCAUUACAAAAGUCACAUACAUUAAAUUAGUAAGUAACGCAGCAUGCAAGGGAUACAAACUUCUUUUACAAACUAUCAUGAACAAAUUAAUAGUCUAAUACAAAAUUGUUACAAAUAAAAUUGAAUUUAGAUUCAAAAUUAACUUUUUCAAUGGUGGCGUGGGCACUUUAUAAAUGUGGACUAUUCCCUUUACAACACAAUAGUUAAAUCGGAGCAAAUCAAGAGUAAAUAUUAGAUUAGAUUAGAUUAGAUAUUAAAAUUGUGAUUCGCUGUGGGCAAUUAUAACAUCUAAAAAUAAAUAAAAAAUAAAUUUAAGUUUAAAAUAUUUAAAGAAUAUUAAAAAUAAAAAACUUUUGGGCUAAUAGAAUCUACUCGGUCUUUUUAAUGUCCUAAAUAAAAAUUUAGGACUUUAAUUAGUUAAUUAGGCCUAAAAGUUUAAUAAUAUAAAUAUUUUGAUAUUUUU